AUUGAACGCUGGCGGCAGGCCUAACACAUGCAAGUCGAGCGGUAGCACAGGGAGCUUGCUCCUGGGUGACGAGCGGCGGACGGGUGAGUAAUGUCUGGGAAACUGCCUGAUGGAGGGGGAUAACUACUGGAAACGGUAGCUAAUACCGCCUAACGUCGCAAGACCAAAGAGGGGGACCUUCGGGCCUCUUGCCCUCCGAUGUGCCCAGAUGGGAUUAGCUAGUAGGUGGGGUAACGGCUCACCUAGGCGACGAUCCCUAGCUGGUCUGAGAGGAUGACCAGCCACACUGGAACUGAGACACGGUCCAGACUCCUACGGGAGGCAGCAGUGGGGAAUAUUGCACAAUGGGCGCAAGCCUGAUGCAGCCAUGCCGCGUGUAUGAAGAAGGCCUUCGGGUUGUAAAGUACUUUCAGCGGGGAGGAAGGCGAUAAGGUUAAUAACCUUGUCGAUUGACGUUACCCGCAGAAGAAGCACCGGCUAACUCCGUGCCAGCCGCCGCCGUAA
rnacentral:rRNA from 1 species